CUUGAAUCAUGAUGAUACUAUUCAUUCUGGCAUCUUCCUCUUCAUCACGGUGUUCGCAUUCUUGCUUCGGCUCGACCAAAAGGAGCAAACCGAUUACCGCAGAGGUGUGUUCAAUGCUUUGACUCAUGAUAUCACCAUAGGUUGUGGUUGCUUAUGAAGAAUCCCAUAAUUUGUAGAAUGAAGGUUGUAGACGUGGAGUUUUGGCUACCUGAUUGGGACUGGUUCGGUUACAGGUGGUCCUGAGAGUGCCACAAAUGUGAAAUGAUUGAGAGUUUGCAGAAUGAUGAAAGAGAACUGAUGCAGAAGGAUAAAUUUGAGGAAGCAUAAAGAAGAUGAAGGAAUUGCAUAAUGAGCAUCUCCCUCUGAAUUGCAAUCAGGUAGGGCAUGAUCAUCAUUGAUCUAUCAAGUUCACAUCUAGGAUUUAAGACCCUCAUGACUAAGAACACAAACCAAGGAAGGAUCUGCAAUGUCUCUAAGCAUCAUAUAUGAGUCCCAAUGAUAUUUACAUGUUAUUCUGAUUAAGAUUUCUUCAAGAGUUUGGAGUUGGUUUGCCUUGGAAACCCUAGUUUGUUUGGGUAUCUUGAGUAACUUCUUCAACAAGUUUCUUCACCAAUUGAUCAAAUCUCUCAAGGGACACUUAAACAUUCAUCAUCUUAUGCAUAUAUGAUCUACCAUGAGCCUAAAAAGUCAAGAGAAUUGCAUGUUAGCAAGUUGGUUGGUGGUGAUUGGCCAGAUGAAUUCAUCUAAUCAAAGUUGGAUCUCCCUAGACCCUAUCUCCUACAAUUUUCAUUAUAUGAAAAUGAUUCAAAGAGAAAAGUUUCUCUAAAUGACAUUCCAAACAAAUUUCAUGUUGAGGUCUAGAGCUAAUUUUUCUUGGAAAGUAAUUUUCUAUGUUGAAACAUUAUAGGUUAUUUUAUCUAAACCCUAAUUUGAAAGUCAACUUCCCAAGGCCAUAACUUGCUCAAUUUUUAUGAGAUAAAAUAUUUUCAAAUUUCACA